GAAAAUAAAUACGAGUAACGUGGCACAAUAUCCAAUAGGAGUGUUGCAGAGAAUGGGAGCAUUGGCAACAGCUGCGGAGGUUCACAUUAGCUUGAAUUUACUAUUUCCAGGAAGAGGAAGAGCAAAGAAGAAGGGAUCAAGUGUGAUAUGCCAGCAAAGGAAAGCUUCCAUUCCCGAUAUGAAAUCGAAACCCUUGAGGUCAAUCGAGGUGAGAGAGAUUAGAGACAAGUGCAGGAAAUGGGCAUGGAAGAGCCAAUAUUCCAUCAAUUUCUUCGUUUCUGAUUCAGAAGCUCGGCCUCCUCUUCUUCUUGUUCAUGGCUUCGGCGCUUCAAUUCCUCACUGGCGCAGGAAUAUUGCCACAUUGUCACAAAAUUACACUGUUUACGCUAUUGACCUUCUGGGAUUCGGUGCUUCAGACAAGCCAAAGGGUUUUGCAUACACCAUGGAGGCAUGGGCUGAGUUAAUUUUGGAUUUCCUGCAUGAAGUUAUUCAGAAACCAACGGUACUAAUAGGGAACUCCGUUGGAAGUCUUGCUUGUGUCAUUGCAGCUUCAGAAUCUCGUCAAACUUUGGUUCGAGGGCUUGUAUUGUUGAAUUGUGCUGGUGGCAUGAACAAUAAGGCAAUUGUUGAUGAUUGGAGGAUCAAGCUGUUACUACCUUUGCUUUUGCUAAUUGAUUUUUUAUUGAAGCAACGAGUAAUUGCUUGACGAUCUUUGAACGUGUAAAACAAAGGGAUACAUUGAAGAACAUUUUAUUAUCUGUGUAUGGCGAUAAGGACUCCGUAGAUGAGGAACUGGUAGAGAUCAUUAGAGGACCUGCAAAUGAUGAAGGUGCGCUUGAUGCUUUUGUUUCCAUCGUGACAGGUCCACCAGGACCGAGUCCUGUCAAACUACUGCCAAGAAUUUCCUGUCCUGUUUUAGUUUUAUGGGGUGAUCAAGAUCCCUUCACACCUAUUGACGGGCCAGUUGGUAAAUAUUUCUCUUCCCUGCCUUCUCAAUUGUCAAAUGUUAGGCUUUACAUGUUGGAAGGGUUGGACAUUGUCCCCAUGAUGACAAACCUGACUUGGUUCAUGGAAAUUUGCUUCCUUGGUUGGCUGAUGUUACGGCUUAAUAAGCAUAAUUGUUGUUGGUUCCAACAAUUAGUGUCACUAAUCGUAGUUAUUGUUGAUGAAUUUAUCAAGUAAUUAACUUGAAGAUUCUUGGAAAGAAAUGGCUCAUAUCUCUUUCGCAAAGAUAACUUGGUUUCAGCAUAGAUAG